UCCUUCCCUGAGCGUGACACGUUCGUGCUCCUCCCACUCCCUCCCGGAGCGUGCUAACGCCACCAAGCAGCUGUUAAGCAGCGGCCGGGUGGCAAGCGCUGGGAGGUAGGUGGAGGAGUGGGGAUGCAGCACGCUCAGGGGAGGAGGGAGAGGAGGAGGUGGGGUGGGGAGUGAGCGGAGCUUGGCUGCCGGUGGGUGCAGAGCAUCCACUAAUUUUUCCCCUUGGGUGCUCCAGACCUGGAGCACCCAUGGAGUCACUGCCUAUGGGAUCUUUAAUCAUCAGACCCAUUUAAGUAGAAGCUCCUCCUUACUUAGGGAGGGAGAGCAGCAUCAGCUGUAAACUAUUGGCUAAGAAUAUCGUGUGGCCUGGCUAAAGUAAGGAGGAGCUUCGUGAAGAAACAAACACACUGUUGUGGCAAACAGUGUUUGAGACAGGUCAUGAGAGCAGGGAAACAGGGAUAGCUAAUGAUGCCUGUACCCGCAAGAACGACGUGGUGGAGAAACAGAUCGCUGGGCCAAGAUUUGUCUGAGACUCUGGACCCCAGUCAGGGGAACACAAAUGAUUCAAACAAAGGGCUGUACAGCAGCUGCAUGAUGGUUCUUCAGAGGACUUGGAGGUUCUGGACACCAACAACUCCAAAGGGCUGAGAGGAUUGGGCCGGUCUGUUUUUGCCCAGAUCCAAAACCAGAUGCUCAACAGAAUGCUGAAACAGAGGGGGAUGCUUAUUCUAUAGGUCUGUACUAUCUAAAGUUGAAGGAGAAGUUUGGUAUUCAGCCUGUGCCAGUUCAUAACCGUAAAACCGUGAUGCUGCAAUUGUGCGAGUGGCUGUGCACGGAAUCAUCAAGCGCUGCCUGAGAGAGAAACAAAAUGAGGAUUGCCCUGGGUGCGCCAUAGAGGCAUCAUGCCUGCGUGUUCUGGUCUUUAGCUGAUGUGAACUGUAAAAUUAAAGAAAUUAGCAGUAGUUUGUGUCUGGAGAGUGUGUUAAACAUCAUCAUCACUUCGGGAUAUGCGCUACAGGGCCUCUGUUUAAGCCAGGAACAUUUAGCUCUAGGGGCAGAAUUGGUGGACAAAGUGACAGAGGCCGAGGACCCAAAUAGCGUUUUAGAUGAAAACAUCAAACCGACAGAUAAAUGUUUAAUGCAAAAUGUUGAACGUCUUCUUUGUUCAGCAAAUUACAAAAUCUUGCUAAGAAAAAACACUAAAAGUUAGAGUGUGAUUUGGGAACAAAACAGGGUGUGUUGUAAAAUAAAAUGUCAGUUGAAAA